rnacentral:rRNA from 1 species
CCUACGGGCGGCUGCAGUGGGGAAUAUUGGACAAUGGGGGGAACCCUGAUCCAGCCAUGCCGCGUGUGUGAAGAAGGCCCUCGGGUUGUAAAGCACUUUCAGUGAGGAAGAACGCCUGGUGGUUAAUACCCAUCAGGAAAGACAUCACUCACAGAAGAAGCACCGGCUAACUCCGUGCCAGCAGCCGCGGUAAUACGGAGGGUGCGAGCGUUAAUCGGAAUUACUGGGCGUAAAGCGCGCGUAGGUGGCUUGAUAAGGCCGGUUGUGAAAGCCCCGGGCGCAACCGGGGAACGGCAUCCGGAAGUGGCGAGCUAGAGGGCAGGAGAGGGGGGUGGAAUGCCCGGUGGAGCGGUGAAAUGCGUAGAGAUCGGGAGGAAGACCGGUGGCGAAGGCGGCCUUGGGGACUGACACUGACGCUGGGGUGCGAAAGCGUGGGUAGCAAACAGGAUUAGAGACCCUGGUAGUC